rnacentral:rRNA from 1 species
UACGGAGGGUGCGAGCGUUGUCCGGAAUCAUUGGGCGUAAAGGGCGCGUAGGUGGCCACUUCAAGCGUGCGGUGAAAGUCGGGGGCUCAACCCCUGAUCGGCCGUGCGAACUGGGGGGGCUGGAGCACUGUAGAGGCAGGCGGAAUUCCGGGUGUAGCGGUGGAAUGCGUAGAGAUCCGGAAGAACACCGGUGGCGAAGGCGGCCUGCUGGGCAGUUGCUGACACUGAGGCGCGACAGCGUGGGGGAGCAAACAGG